rnacentral:tRNA from 1 species
GUUUCCGUAGUGUAGUGGUUAUCUCGUUCGCCUCACACGCGAAAGGCCCCGGUUCGAACCCGGGUGAAAACA